GAGUACGCCAUUUUUAAUUUUUGGUACUUUUCAAAAAUCCUACCCGUUCGGUCGGAAUCAUGUCAGCAUUUGGGGCACUUUUUUUAGACACCUCCGAAGACAGCACAUAACUCUGUUAUUUUUAAACUUUUUGUAAAAAAAAGAUCUUUAAAUAUACCUGAAAAUAUGCCUUAUUAAGUUUAAAGAACUUCGAAACAUAUAAAAAGUGUAAAUAAAAAUAAAAAGUUCCAAAUGCACUUUAUUUGAAGUCAAUAUCUUUAAAACUUAUCAUUUUAUGCGGAAUCUAGCUGGAUAACUUUUUUUUCACUUUUUUAGCUAUGUUGCAAUGAAUACAAACUUAAUUUCAAUUUAAGUAUAUAAAUUAAUUUUUUAGCACAUCAUUUUAUAAAUUUAACAAUAAAAUACUACAAUAUACUAAAAGACGUAUACGUUUUAGCAAUUUAUAAGUUUAAACGAUUUUAAUAGAUAAUACAAAUGAGGGUCGAUAAGACCCAUGGUUAGUAACCAUGCGACAUGAUUUGAGGUUAGUAAUGCAGGGUUAAUUGUUGACAGCUGCUUUGCUUGCACGUGUUUUGGAUCGUCUUCGAUUUUUACCUAUCAAAAAAAUUGCACCACGAUAACGCCCCUGCUCACACAUCGUUGCUUGUGCGCGACUUUUUGGCCAAAAACAACACACUAAUGAUGCCGCAGCCACCGUAUUCCCCAGAUCUGGCCCCCUGUUACUUUUUCUUGUUCCCUAAACUGAAGAGGCUCAUGAAAGGACGACGUUACGCUUCUCUUGACGAGAUAAAGACGGCAUCGAAGGAGGAGCUGAAGAAAAAAAAAAUGAUUUUUUGAAGUGCUUCGAAGAUUAGAAAAACCGUUGGCCCUCUGUGACUUUUUCUUGUUCCCUAAACUGAAGAGGCCCAUGAAAGGACGACGUUACGCUUCUCUUGACGAGAUAAAGACGGCAUCGAAGGAGGAGCUGAAGAAGAUAAAAAAAAAAUGAUUUUUUGAAGUGCUUCGAAGAUUGGAAAAACCGUUGGCACAAGUGUAUAAUAUCUCAUGGGGAUUACUUUGAAGGGGACAAAAUAGAUAUCUUUAUAUAUAUAAAUCUUCUGACCGUUUGUUUGCGUUUGAACUGCUCCUAAAUGGAUGGACCGAUUUUGAUGAAAUUUUGUGUGUAUGUUCAAGGAGAUUCGAGGACGGUUUAGAUUUACAAUUUGGUCGACUGGAAAAUGUUUUUUAAAUUAUUUUUUCAUUUUUAAUCAAUUGUUAAUUUUGGAAUGUUUGACCGAUAGAUGGCGCUACCAUCGCAGUAUCCAAUAUUCAAACCUUAGAUUGGCGUAAAAGUGCAUUAAAGAAAACGAUGCCAAAGUAAAAGGCGACAUCUAUGGAUCAAGUUUUUAUAUUGUGGACAGAGUUGUUCGUUCUUAAGUAAUAAAUUGGGUGAUUCAAUACAUCUAUGAGUCGCUAUAACAUUUUUUUCAUACCUGCUAACUAUUGGAGGGGGUAUCUUGACUGGCAAUUUAAAAUGCAAAAGGUCUGGCAUAAAAAAAUAGCGGCAUAACUGAAGUGUUGAUAAAAAAUUUGAGAUAUACAGAAAUCUUUUCGAAGCAUUGCACAGAGCAAUGCAAUAUUUAAACGGGAACGAUGAAUACAUAUGUGUAUGCGUACAAUUUCAAACUGAUCCUUCCUGAAAAAUAAUAAAAUUGCUAAAUAUUGGGAAUGGUAGAAUAGAACUGCAAUCAAAUACACAAUGCAAUGAAUUAAAACUGGCUCAUUUAUCAUUCGAUGAAUAAUAUACCGCGGGCAUCCCAAAAGACUGAUGCCAUAACCUUGCCAGCCGAUUUUUUUGUCUUUUCACGCUUGAGAACCGUUUCUUAAUAUGCAGUGCAUAUGCGAUUGGACUCGAUUGAUUUCACUGAUGCACAGCCCAAAUUCAAUAGUAUUUUUACCCCAAAAACCAAUUUUUUCUUAACGCACGAAAUGCUUUUUGAUUCAUUUUUGUUGCUUCAUCAAAAAUGCGAUUAUUCCUUAACUAAUACUUAUAAUCUAACUAAUAGAAAUCAUAUAGAUGGUAUUAGUAGUACUAUCUAUGUAGCAGCCACAGUAAAACGUAAGCGGGUCCUCUAGUUCAUGAAUAAAUAAAUAAUUUUUGAAAAAACACAAAAUUCGCGAUACUUUUUGAACACACCUCGUAUAGCAUAUAUACAUGCAUAUGAAAUUAUAUAAUAUUAUCAUAGAUAAGAUAUAUUUAAAAAGUAGCUCAUUUGCCCAUUAACUACAGAUUUUGCUUGGAGAAUUGCAUAAUUUAAUAAUAAUGUUAUAAAUUUUGCAUGAAUUCACAAAAAGUAGCAAAAUGAAAUUCUAAUCAAUUGAUAUGAUAGCAUGUAAACGUUUAAAAAUAUAAGCAAAGGAGCAAUAAUGUACGUUUGUAAUAGUAAUGUAUAUUUCUGAACAUAAUUUUCAUUGAAUGCUCAGCUCUGUUCACUUAUCACUGUUAAAAUUUCUCUUCCGAGCUCAAAGUGGUGAAAUCCACAAUAGGACUUUGUUAGCUCUUGACAGUUCACACGCUUGUUCACAAUUGAACCUUCUCUAUUAUUUUAAGUUCUCUGGCUGUCCAAAAGGCGCUAUCCUAGCUGCAAAUAAAACAUAAUCGAUUUAUUCGAAUAUUUCUUAAGUAAUAUCUUUUUUAAUGCAAAUAAAAUGCAAGAAAAAGUUUCUUGUAAGAAAACAAUAAUGUUACUAUCACAUCAAAAUUAUAUUUAAAGCAUUUUUCGUUCUCAUUGAAAAAUAAUAUUCACGAUACUUGUUGAAAGGGAAUUCAACAUUUAUAAAGAUUCCUGAAAUUAAUUGCAAGGAACAGUUCAUAUGAUUUGUCAAUAGUGUUAAAAUUUUAUCCUGGCAAAUAUUUACUUGAGGUACUGGAUAUAGGGCAUAAGAAUGGCUCCUCUAUUUUGCCCAACUGACUCCAUCGAUUUCUGGAGAUAUGAGAUGCCAGAACGAAGUUGUGUUAGUUACACCAUUUAUAACUCGAGAACGGCUGAACCGAUUUGGCUGAAAAUUGGUGGAGAGGUAGUUUAGAACCAGGGUACGGACAUAGAAUACUUUUUAUCUCUUUAUGUUAAAAUUUAAUACAACUCAUAAAUACAAAAAUUGUAUUUCAAAUAAUAAGCAUAUGUUCAAAAUUCAUGUUUGUAGGAAUCAUUUGAAUAUACAUAUGUUCGUACAUUUUUAAACAGAUUCUUCCUCAAAAAUAAUCGUUGAGUAUGUAUUAUACAACGUGCAUCCCAAAAGACUAAUGCCAUAACCUUUCCAGCCGACUUUUUCGUCUUUCCACGCCUGAGAACCGGUUCAUCAUGGAGUUCACUAGAAUGACUGUCGAUUGAACUUCAGUAGGAAAUGAUGGAGCUAUGUUUCUAUUGUCACACACCGACGCAAAAAUUCGGUUUUAUUAUCAGAAUCAGUUAACCGUUGUUUUUUUUUUGGAUUAUGAACUUGCGAGGCCCCACUUUGCUCAAAAAUUAUUUAUUUAUUCAUGAAUAUCUAUUUUGUCCCCUUCAAAGUAAUCCCCAUGAGAUAUUAUACACUUGUGCCAACGGUUUUUCCAAUCUUCGAAGCACUUCAAAAAAUCAUUUUUUUUUUUAUCUUCUUCAUCUCCUCCUUCGAUGCCGUCUUUAUCUCGUCAAGAGAAGCGUAACGUCGUCCUUUCAUGGGCCUCUUCAGUUUAGGGAACAAGAAAAAGUCACAGGGGGCCAGAUCUGGGGAAUACGUUUUGGCCAAAAAGUCGCGCACAAGCAACGAUGUGUGAGCAGGGGCGUUAUCGUGGUGCAAUUUUUUUGAUAGGUAAAAAUCGAAGACGAUCCAAAACACGUGCAAGCAAAGCAGCUGUCAACAAUUAAAAGGACAUUCAAAAUGGCCGAGCUUGUCGGCAUAAGUUAGAAACAUGAGUACCAACAUAACGCCACAAAAAAUUCGAAAUUCGAAUAUACGUAACCCGCGAAAAUUCAAAAUUCGCGAUACUUUUUGAACACACCUCGUAUAGUGAUCCCAGUUGAUUCAGUGUCGGGAAAAGGAAUAAAGAUCGGUUCGCUUAUUUUAAAUCAUCAUGACAGUUUUAAAUAAAUAAUAAAAAAUAAUCAAUUUUGAUAUUGUAAAAUUUUAUAUCUCUUUUUUUAUUCUUUUAACCACCGAUUCUUUUGAAACUUUGAACACUAUUUCUGUACAUAAUUUACAGGUAACGCCGGGGAGUUGUUUUUUUAAUUUAAUAAUAGUUUUUAUAUUACAAAAGUGUUCUAAAUAAUAUAAAAUAUUUUGAAAAAACUACCUGGCGGUUUCCUGGGAAAAACUGUUAUCUAAAGAACGAAGCUUUAUUUCGUGAUAUCGUAAGAUCCUACACCAAAAAUUUUUUUGUGAUAAAAAUGUUCCCUUGUGUCAAAAAUUAAUACUAUACUUCCCUGAGAGAUCAUCAGUUUCUGGCAAUAAUAUGUCGUGAUGUCAAAAAUAGAUAAAAUCAGGUCAGUAUAACCCCCAGUCCGGUCCAGUCCCAAUUUUGUUGUUGUGUAAUUUACUAUAAAUUUUGACGUCGGCCAUAUUGAUUUCUAAUGUUAUUUGAGACGAUUGUUGUUUUUGCAGAACAAUAUUUAUAAUUUUUGCGGGUGACAUAUCCACACGUGCUUUCGACAGCACGAAAAGGAGCUGCCUUUAUGCCGCGAUGUCUGAAUUUGGUAUCCCCGCAAAACUAAUACGGCUGUGUAAACUGACGUUGAGCAGCACCAAAAGCUCCGUCAGGAUCGGGAAGGACCUCUCCGAGCCGUUCAAUACCAAACGAGGUUUCUGACAAGGCGACUCCCUAUCGUGCGACUUCUUCAAUCUGCUGCUGGAGAAAAUUAUUCGAGCCGCAGAACUUAAUCGAGCAGGUACAAUCUUUUAUAAGAGUGUACAGCUGCCGGCGUAUGCUGAUGAUAUUGAUAUCAUCGGCCACAACAUCCGCGCCGUUAGUUCUGCUUUCUCCAGACUGAACAAGGAAGCAACGCAAAUGGGUCAGGCAGUGAACGAAGGCAAGACGAAAUAUCUCCUGUCAUCAAACAAACAGUCGUCGCACUCGCGACUUGGCUCUCACGUCACUGUUGACAGUCAUAACUUUGAAGUUGUAGAUAAAUUCGUCUCUUUAGGAACCAGCAUUAACACCACACACAAUGUCAGCCUGGAAAUCGAACGCAGGAUUACUCCUGCCAACAGGUGCUACUUCGGACUGAGUAGGCAAUUGAGAAGCAAAGUCCUCUCUCGACGAACAAAAGCCAAACUCUAUAAGUAGCUCAUAAUUCCCGUCCUGCUGUAUGAUGCAGAGGCUUGGACGAUGACAACAACCGAUGAGUCGACGUUACGAGUUUUCGAGAGAAAGGUUCUGCGAAAGAUUUAUGGUCCUUUGCGCAUUGGCCACGCAUUCGAUGGAACGAUGAGCUGUACGAGAUAUACGACGACAUUGACAUAGUUCAGCGAAUUAAAAGACAGCGGCUACGCUGGCUAGGCCAUGUUGUACGGAUGGAUGAAAACACUCCAGCUCUGAAAGUAUUCGACGCAGUACCCGCCGCGGGAAGCAGAGGAAGAGGAAGACCUCCACUCCGUUGGAAGGACCAAGUGGAGAAGGACCUGGCUUCGCUUGGAAUAUCCAAUUGGCGCCACGUAGCGAAGAAAAGAAACGACUGGCGCGCUGUUGUUGACUCGGCUAUAAUCGCGUAAGCGGUGUCUACGCCAGUAAAGAAGAAGAAGACAUAUCCACAAGUGAACGCAUAUAAGUACAUACAUAUGUUGGUUGUGUAUGCAUUGUUUGUAUGGGAAUGUCAUUCGCACAUAUGUAUGUAUUUACAAGAGUACGCAUAUAAAUAUGUUUUUUUUGUUUUUUUUUAUUGAAACCUAAUGAUAUUUGUUAUUUUCUGAGAUUCUUAAUAGAUCAUGAAACGUUGUUCUUUUCAGUCUGUGUCUGCUAUUUCUAGUCUCUCCUAGUUGUCUUGCUUUUAAAUUAAAACACUCAACAUUAAUUACGAUUGCAAAUUAUUAUAUAUUGGACUUU